rnacentral:tRNA from 8 species
UGGGGUAUCGUCAAGUUGGUAAGACAACAGAUUUUGAUUCUGUCAUUCGCAGGUUCGAGUCCUGCUACCCCAUCCA